UGGGGAAUAUUGGACAAUGGGAAAGCCUGAUCCAGCCAUGCCGCGUGUGUGAAGAAGGUCUUCGGAUUGUAAAGCACUUUAAGUUGGGAGGAAGGGCAGUAAGCGAAUACCUUGCUGUUUUGACGUUACCGACAGAAUAAGCACCGGCUAACUCUGUGCCAGCAGCCGCGGUAAUACAGAGGGUGCAAGCGUUAAUCGGAAUUACUGGGCGUAAAGCGCGCGUAGGUGGUUCGUUAAGUUGAAUGUGAAAGCCCCGGGCUCAACCUGGGAACUGCAUCCAAAGCUGGCGAGCUAGAGUAGGGCAGAGGGUGGUGGAAUUUCCUGUGUAGCGGUGAAAUGCGUAGAUAUAGGAAGGAACACCAGUGGCGAAGGCGACCACCUGGGCUCAUACUGACACUGAGGUGCGAAAGCGUGGGGAGCAAACAGG
rnacentral:rRNA from 1 species